CCUGAGCCUCUGGCAGCUGGGGUUCGAGCGUGCACUCCUGUCCUGGGAACUCCAUCUGAGCGGUUCUGCGGGGACCCAGAGCAGAGCAGGUGGGAGGAGCUGCCUCCAGGCCUGCAAGCCCAGCGCGGGAUCCAGCUGCUGCAACCGAGGGAGACGCGCGUCCACGUGACUCCCCGACAACUCAGGGCUUGCGGUGAAGGGUUAUUUAUUAGAAUCUCUCCCUGGCCUUGGACGCAGCCCUUCACGUCGUCGGUGUGUGCGGUUGUGCAAUCCUCCAGCCCUAUAAAGGCGGUGACCCUGCCGCCACUGGAGCCUCUGGAGCCUCUGGAGCCCGGCCUCCCCUGAGCCUCCCUCCCCGGGCCUCCGGCCGCCAGCGGCCACCAUGAGGGUCUUCCACCUGCUGCUGCUGGCUCUCAGCUUGCUUCUCUCCCAGCUGGGCCCAGGUGCCAGCCAGCUUACGGCUCUCGGCCAGUAGUCUGACAGCUACAUAUGUGCCAGGAAAGGGGGGACCUGCAACCUAUCGCCCUGCCCCCUCUACAACAGGAUCGAAGGCACCUGCUACAGGGGCAAAGCCAAGUGCUGCAUCCGUUGACUCUGAGCUGGGAGCGAUGGCAGAGGGCACUCAGGAGCCACGUGGAGUAUUUGUAACCAUUGUUUUAAUAAAAGGAUUUUGUGAGGCGGACAUCCUUGAGACUAGAAUGAGUCUUGUAUCUCCUUUUGGAAGAGAUUAAGAAAGUUUGAAGUUUGAAAGGGCAGACAGGCCAGGCUGCAAAGCCCACCGAGUAUGGGACUGGGGGAUGUUGAUGAGGCCAUGAGCCGUGCCACCUCCACUCUGCUUCAUCACCAGAUCUACAGGUGAGCAAUGCAGGGGGUCCAGGUGAGACCGAGAGCACGUGAUAAAUGACAGAGCCUCAGGCCCCCCUCAUUCAUAGCAGAAGCUCAUCCCAGACCCAGCGAUCUCAGCAGCCUGUCCAUCUGCUGAGCCCAGAACUGCUGCCCCUGCUCCUCCCUGGGCUGGGACAGUGGGCUGUGGGUUGGUUAACCUUAGCAUUUGAGAACUUUCAUUAGGACCAUAAACCUAUCCCGAGUAAGGAGGCCUAAUAGCUGGUUCCUGGAGGACCAUU
rnacentral:lncRNA from 1 species